rnacentral:rRNA from 1 species
UACAGAGGGGGCAAGCGUUAUUCGGAAUUAUUGGGCGUAAAGGGCGCGUAGGCGGCUUUGCAAGUGACGGGUGAAAUCCCUCGGCUUAACCGGGGAACUGCGUGUCAAACUGCAUGGCUUGAGACCGGGAGAGGUGAGUGGAAUUCCCAGUGUAGCGGUGAAAUGCGUAGAUAUUGGGAGGAACACCAGUGGCGAAGGCGGCUCACUGGACCGGUACUGACGCUGAGGCGCGAAAGCGUGGGUAGCAAACAGG